rnacentral:rRNA from 1 species
GACGAACGCUGGCGGCGUGCUUAACACAUGCAAGUCGAACGGAAAGGCCCUGCUUUUGUGGGGUGCUCGAGUGGCGAACGGGUGAGUAACACGUGAGUAACCUGCCCUUGACUUUGGGAUAACUUCAGGAAACUGGGGCUAAUACCGGAUAGGAGCUCCUGAUGCAUGGUGGGGGUUGGAAAGUUUCGGCGGUUGGGGAUGGACUCGCGGCUUAUCAGCUUGUUGGUGGGGUAGUGGCUUACCAAGGCUUUGACGGGUAGCCGGCCUGAGAGGGUGACCGGCCACAUUGGGACUGAGAUACGGCCCAGUCUCCUACGGGACGCAGCAGUGGGAAAUAUUGCACAAUGGGCGGGAGCCUGAUGCGGCAGCGCCGCGUGCGGGAUGACGGCCUUCGGGUUGUGAACCGCUUUCGCCUGUGACGAAGCCUGCGUGACGGUAAUGGGUCAGGAAGCACCGGCUAACUACGUG